rnacentral:sRNA from 1 species
GCUGGGCACAGUGGUGCAUGCCUGUAAUCCCAGCAAUUUAGGAGGCUAAGGCAGGAGGAUCACAAGUUCAAAGCCAGCCUCAGCAAAGCGAGGCACUUAGCAACCCAAUGAGACCCUGUCUCUA